UACGAAGGGUGCAAACGUUGCUCGGAAUCAUUGGGCGUAAAGCGCACGUAGGCGGCCCAGCAAGUUGGAUGUGAAAUCCCUCGGCUCAACCGAGGACGUGCAUCCAAAACUGCUGGGCUUGAGUACUGAAGAGGAUCGCGGAAUUCCCGGUGUAGAGGUGAAAUUCGUAGAUAUCGGGAGGAACACCAGUGGCGAAGGCGGCGAUCUGGGCAGAUACUGACGCUGAGGUGCGAAAGCGUGGGGAGCAA
rnacentral:rRNA from 1 species